rnacentral:rRNA from 1 species
AGUGAACGCUGGCGGUAGGCCUAACACAUGCAAGUCGAACGGCAGCACAGUAAGAGCUUGCUCUUACGGGUGGCGAGUGGCGGACGGGUGAGGAAUACAUCGGAAUCUACUUUUUCGUGGGGGAUAACGUAGGGAAACUUACGCUAAUACCGCAUACGACCUACGGGUGAAAGCAGGGGAUCUUCGGACCUUGCGCGAUUGAAUGAGCCGAUGUCGGAUUAGCUAGUUGGCGGGGUAAAGGCCCACCAAGGCGACGAUCCGUAGCUGGUCUGAGAGGAUGAUCAGCCACACUGGAACUGAGACACGGUCCAGACUCCUACGGGAGGCAGCAGUGGGGAAUAGUGGACAGAGGGCGCAAUCCUGGUCCAGCCAUACCGCGUGGGUGAAGAAGGCCUUCGGGUUGUAAAGCCCUUUUGUUGAGAAAGAAAAGCAGCAGGUUAAUACCCCGCUGUUCUGACGGUACCCAAAGAAUAAGCACCGGCUAACUUCGUG